AAUUUUGAGUAAUCGCGGUCUACUUUUGUAGGCUGAGGAAAGUCCAUGCCCGCACAAGCUGUGAUGCUUGUAGUGUUCGUGCUAGGCCCAAUAAGCCUAGGAACCAUUAUUGGUUACGGCGACUAAAUCCGCUAAGGGCAACUAUGCGGUAGUAGGUCUGAAAAGUGCCACAGUGACGAAGCACAACUGGAAACGGUUGUGAUGGAACGCGGUAAACCCCGCGAGCGAGUAACCCAAACUUUGGUAGGGGCGUUUUGCCAUGGGAAUCCGAACUAACGGCAAAAUAGCGUAAGCUAAGAUAGAUGAUUACUGAAGGGAACCACGCCUGGUGGAACCUGGAACAAAACAUGGCUUAUAGAA
rnacentral:RNase_P_RNA from 2 species